CAUACAUAUAAGUGAAUGCAUGAGUAAGCAUUAAAUAUAAAUUAAUAAGAUAUUAUAAAUAAAAUUAAUAUCAAACUCAUAGUGCAAUCUAAUGCUUAUUCGUUCUGCUGAGAAGAAGAAGAAAAUUAUUGAUUUGGAUCACCUAAGUAAACAUACCAAAUAACUAUCAAUAAUAGAUCAACAAUAAUUAAUUAAAGAAACAAAAUACUUCUUAGGUUGGUGUCGAAAAU
rnacentral:misc_RNA from 1 species